GAUGAACGCUAGCGGCAGGCCUAACACAUGCAAGUCGAGGGAGGAGCCUUCGGGCUUCGACCGCCGUACGUGUGCGUAGACCGUAUAGUAUCUGCCUUUCACAUAGGGUUAGCCUGUAGAAAUUUUUAUUAAUACCUAAUGUAAUAUAGGUUUAUCAUCUCCUUUAUAUUAAAGCUGAGUCGGUGAAAGAUUAGUUUUCGUUCAAUUAGCUAUUUGGUGAGGUUACGGCUCCCCAAGGCGACGUUAGAUAGGGGGUCUGAGAGGGAUAUCCCCCACAAUGGUACUGAGAUACGGACCAGACUCCGACGGGACGCAGCAGAGAGGAAUAUUGGACAAUGGUCGGAAGACUGAUCCAGCCAUGCCGGGGACGGAAAGACGCCCUUAUGAGUUGUCAACUGCUUGUGCAGAAGAAAAAUAAGGACUACGCUUAGUUUGAUGACGGUACUCAGCGAGAAAGCAACGGCUAACUACGUG
rnacentral:rRNA from 1 species